rnacentral:rRNA from 1 species
UCCUACGGGACGCAGCAGUGAGGAAUAUUGGUCAAUGGGCGAGAGCCUGAACCAGCCAAGUCGCGUGAAGGAUGACGGCCCUAUGGGUUGUAAACUUCUUUUGUCAGGGAGCAAUUGGGUCCACGCGUGGGCUUAGCGAGAGUACCUGAAGAAAAAGCAUCGGCUAACUCCGUGCCAGCAGCCGCGGUAAUACGGAGGAUGCGAGCGUUAUCCGGAUUUAUUGGGUGUAAAGGGAGCGCAGGCGGCUUGGCAAGUCUGAUGUGAAAGGCUGGGGCUCAACCCCAGGACUGCAUUGGAAACUGUUA